GCCAGGCGUGGUGGCGCAUGCCUGUAAUCCCAGCUACUUGGGAGGCUGAGGCAGGAGAAUCACUGGAACCUGGGAGGUGGAGGUUGCAGUGAGCUGAGAUCCUGCCACUGCACUCUAGCCUGGGUGACAAAGUGAGAUCCUGUUUCAA
ensembl:misc_RNA Metazoa_SRP Metazoan signal recognition particle RNA